GAUGUUCUGCGGUAGAUUCGGCCUCUCUCUCACUCUGCUCUCCCUGUGCUCAUUCGGUGCCGGUGCACAUCACUCUGACCAUCUCUGCAUGAGGAGAAGUUUUUGGAAAGAGCUGAUUCACGGACUAGAAAAGACAAAUCCAGUUCUUUCUCCCAAAUGCAGAACUGAAUAUGAGGAAUGAUUACAGCUCCCAACAAUUGUAAAACCGGCAAAACAUGACAGAACUCCUGCUGCUAUUGAAAUCCUAAAGGGGAUUCAGAAGCUCUUCAGUGAACCCAAU